CCACAAGGGAGUCCAUUCAUGUGCUUGACUGUUCUGGAUACUUUCUUGAAGAGCUUCUUGGAAACUUGCUUCACAAAGCAGCUCUAAAAGUUCACCUUAGAAGGGAGAGAACUGCUGCUUUGUCCUAUCAGCAUUCCCAUACCAGCUAUCACUGAAGAAGUCUACUAGAAUCAAGAUCUGCAUCAAUGACUUAAGGAAGUGCUUCUGCAGGGCUAGUAUUCACCUAUGAUUAUAACUGUGAAGCAGCUUGGAUCAUGACAAAACAUUACUACACAAUUCAAAUGCUGCCUAAUUUCAAAUGGAAGCCAGAUAGGUACUAGAUUGACAAUCCUGAAAAAAGAAGCCCACAUACCGAUAGAAUAAAUAUCAAAAGACAGCAACCAUAUCAAUUUCCUUCCAUGGCAUCAGAAAAUCAUUCUGGAAUGAUUCUUUCUGGAAAAUCAUUCCUGGAAUGACAGUAACUGUUUCCAUACUAACGCAGGUCCUUAGCAUUGUACUGAAUCUGCCAGCACAGAGUCCCUUUUGAUAAAGACAUCUGUUUAACAGAGUUGGAGAUCCUGGUCCAAAUUUUAUUCCAUAUAGGCUACUGAACAGCUGUCAUACAGUAAUAAAUGUAGGUUAAAUUAGAAUAAUUCACUUUUAAAUAAACAGGGGCCACAAUUGUGUUACCUGUGCUCUCAGACAGACAGUCAUUUUCUCUCAACAUAAGUAAUAAAUUGAAGAGAAGCCAACUUUUGUAUUGACAAUACCACCAUCAUACAUUAACUGUCAAAAAAAAUCACAAUUCUUAUGCUUACUGAUAACAUCUGCAUUAAACAUUAGGUCACUAAAUAGCCAGCACCACUACAUUUCCUGUCGUAAUGUUGUGAUAACAAUUUUCAUAUAUUCUUGUGACUGACAUCCAUGCCACCUGCCACUUCAACAAAGACUGUUUCAAUACCAAACAGAAACUGCCAAUAUAACAAAUUUUAAAACAAAUAUUCUGAAAAGCCUUCAUAAUUUAAAAAAAAAUUGUUACAAGCUUCUAACCUUGAAUGAGGGAAACAAUGGCCAUGAAGUAAUGAGUCUCUUUAAGAUUAACGCAUGGAAACAUUUCCUAAGCUACCUCCACCAUCUUACUGUGUGCUAUUAAGAUUAAAUUUUGCUUUUAGUCCAGCUUGUAAAACACAUUAGUAAUUUAACCCAUUGCUGUCCUGAUGUGAUAAAAUUCAUAUUAUGGCAGAUGAGUAUUACAACCCAGAUCCAAGAAACAGUUUUAAUUCUUUAUCAGGAAGAUCUGUUAUGGUUAACACACUUAUUUGAUUGAUAGACUGACUGAGGGAAGACUUGAGCAGGAGUUCUGUUUUUGGAUGGUCAAAACACAAGUCUCUCAACAUACUGAAAUAAAAACACUCCUAGCAAAGUUAGUUUGCUUGCUCUGAGAAGCAAGCCCGAGCAAUUCUUCUGAAGAGACCUAAUUUUUACAGAGGAAAAUCAUGUUUUAUGAAACUGGAAUGAGCAAGGAAGGUGAAUCAGGUGCUGCAACCUCCUGCCCUCACAGCGCUGGACUAAGAAAAGUUAAUAAUAUAAACAAGAA